rnacentral:rRNA from 1 species
UACGUAGGGUGCGAGCGUUAAUCGGAAUUACUGGGCGUAAAGCGUGCGCAGGCGGUGAGUUAAGUCUGAUGUGAAAGCCCCGGGCUCAACCUGGGAAUGGCAUUGGAAACUGGCUCGCUGGAGUGUGGCAGAGGGGGGUGGAAUUCCACGUGUAGCAGUGAAAUGCGUAGAGAUGUGGAGGAACACCGAUGGCGAAGGCAGCCCCCUGGGUCAAGAUUGACGCUCAUGCACGAAAGCGUGGGGAGCAAACAGG